UAUUUUGACUAUACAAAGGUAUUGUAAUAAGGUUUUAAUUGAAUGCUAAGAGAAUGAAUUAACAAAAAAAAUCUUUUUUGAUAUUAACAAUUGAAGUUAUUUUUGUAUGUGAAGAAACAACAAUAAAAUUUAAGGACAAGAAGACCCUAAGAAUUUUUUUUUCCAAUUAAAAAAGAUUUUUAAUUGGAAAUUUAAUUGGGGCGAUUUAAAAAAAUUUAAAACUUUUUAAAAAAAAAAUAUGAUCCAAUAUUAUUGAUCUUCUGAAAAAAAUACUCUAGGGAUAACAGCGUAAUAAUUUUUGAUAGUUCUUAUAGACAAAAUAGUUUGCGACCUCGAUGUUGGAUUAGGAUUCUUAUUUAAUGAAGAAGUUAAAAAAAGAAGUUUGUUCAACUUUUAAAAUCC
rnacentral:rRNA from 1 species